rnacentral:rRNA from 1 species
UACAGAGGUCUCGAGCGUUGUUCGGAUUCAUUGGGCGUAAAGAGUGCGUAGGUGGCGCGCUAAGUCAGGUGUGAAAUUUCGGAGCUUAACUCCGAAACUGCAUUUGAUACUGGCGUGCUUGAGGACUGGAGAGGAGACUGGAAUUCACGGUGUAGCAGUGAAAUGCGUAGAGAUCGUGAGGAAGACCAGUGGCGAAGGCGGGUCUCUGGACAGUUCCUGACACUGAGGCACGAAGGCCAGGGGAGCAAACGGG